rnacentral:rRNA from 2 species
AGGGGGGGGCGUCCUAUACAUGCAGUCGAGCGCAGGAAAUCAUCCGAACCCUUCGGGGGGACGUUGAUGGAAUGAGCGGCGGACGGGUGAGUAACACGUAAAGAACCUGCCCUCAGGUCUGGGAUAACCACGAGAAAUCGGGGCUAAUACCGGAUGGGUCAUCGGACCGCAUGGUCCGAGGAUGAAAGGCGCUUCGGCGUCGCCUGGGGAUGGCUUUGCGGUGCAUUAGCUAGUUGGUGGGGUAAUGGCCCACCAAGGCGACGAUGCAUAGCCGACCUGAGAGGGUGAUCGGCCACACUGGGACUGAGACACGGCCCAGACUCCUACGGGAGGCAGCAGUAGGGAAUCUUCCACAAUGGACGAAAGUCUGAUGGAGCAACGCCGCGUGAACGAUGAAGGCCUUCGGGUCGUAAAGUUCUGUUGUAAGGGAAGAACAAGUGCCGCAGGCAAUGGCGGCACCUUGACGGUACCUUGCGAGAAAGCCACGGCUAACUACGUGCCAGCAGCCGCGGUAAUACGUAGGUGGCAAGCGUUGUCCGGAAUUAUUGGGCGUAAAGCGCGCGCAGGCGGCCUCUUAAGUCUGAUGUGAAAGCCCCCGGCUCAACCGGGGAGGGCCAUUGGAAACUGGGAGGCUUGAGUAUAGGAGAGAAGAGUGGAAUUCCACGUGUAGCGGUGAAAUGCGUAGAGAUGUGGAGGAACACCCAGUGGCGAAGGCGACUCUUUGGCCUAUAACUGACGCUGAGGCCGCGAAAGCGUGGGGAGCAAACAGGAUUAGAUUACCCUGGUAAGUCCCA